UAGAUGAUACCUUCAGGGAUCAUUUCUAUAGUUUGUUACCAGAGAAGUUUCCCUGAUUGUGCAGAGCACCUGAAACCACAAGGAGGAGCCAGAGCAUCUCUCCUGAGGGUGAAGGUGGUUCUAGGUGUUGCUUCUGCAACUGCCUUUUAUUGCCUUUUAUCACUGAUGAACGUUCUUCUCUUCCCUUGGAAGAGUUGAGGGAGAGGAUGCAGUCUGAGUGA
rnacentral:snoRNA from 1 species